ensembl:lncRNA
CAUGAACAAAGGCGCCUCUUGGGGAACUUGGAAGCAGGAACAGCGGUGCACUGACAAGAUGGGAGAGCUCCUCACCCCGUUUUGGUCUGUUACUCAGACCCCAAGGAGCAGGCAUCCGGCUGCACUUCGUGUUCACACCUUGGCGACCGGAGGGCAGGGCACCUUAGAUUAUGACUACAGAGGAUUCUGAUUCAGGGAGGCAGAUCUCGGUUUUGACACUCUGGAUUCCACUCUUGCGCCAGAGUUUACGUGGUGGUUUGCCCUGCCAGCUCAGUUCUGUGAGGAGUCUAAAAUAUAGGUGGAUUCAGUUUUUCCAGCGUUUUCUUGUUUUAAGGAUGGGAUUGGUGAUCUCUGCCCUCUCUAUAUGUUGGGGCUGAAACCAGAAGCUUUAUUUGUGACCAUUUUUGAAAUAUGCCACAAUCAGUAUAAGCCUAUGAGUUUCAAAUAUCAUGAUUUUCUUUAAUUGAAGUACAGCACAGAAAGUGAAGAGUGCACAAACCAUAAGAGACAACAACUUGAUGACUUUUCACAAAGUGAACACAUACCUGUAACCACCACCAAGACCAAGAUCUGGAACAUUACUGGAGCCUCAGAAACCCACGUUAUGCCCCUGUCUAGGUGUUUCACGUGAAGGCUAACCACUAUUCUGACCUACGUCAGCAUAAGGGUUUCUUGUUUUUGUUUUUGUUGUUUUGCCUCUUCUUAAACUUUAUAUAAAUAGAAUUAUCAGUCACGUAUGUUUUUAUGCCUGGCUUCUUUUGCUCAGUGUUCUGCUAUUGAUAUCUGCCCAUGUUGUUGCACGUAGGGGUAUUUUC